rnacentral:pre_miRNA from 1 species
AGGAGCAACCGCAGUGGCUGGGCCAGCCCUGGAGCCCUGGAGUCAGCUCCCUCAGUAAGUCCGGAGCUCUCGUCUGCAGGGCCUGGAGGCUCCGGGGCGGG